AGUGAACGCUGGCGGCGUGCCUAACACAUGCAAGUCGAACGAGAACGGAAUAUAGCUUGCUAUAUUUGUCAGCUAAGUGGCGCACGGGUGAGUAAUGUAUAGAUAACCUGCCCUUAAGAAAGGAAUAACAGUUGGAAACGACUGCUAAUGCCCUAUAUGCCUUUAAUACAUAAGUAUGCAAGGGAAACGCUUUAGUGCUUAAGGAUGGGUCUGUAUGGUAUCAGCUUGUUGGUGAGGUAAUGGCUCACCAAGGCUAUGACGCCUAACUGGUUUGAGAGGAUGAUCAGUCACACUGGAACUGAGACACGGUCCAGACUCCUACGGGAGGCAGCAGUGGGGAAUAUUGCACAAUGGACGAAAGUCUGAUGCAGCAACGCCGCGUGAAGGAUGACACAUUUCGGUGCGUAAACUCCUUUUAUAUAGGAAGAUAAUGACGGUACUAUAUGAAUAAGCACCGGCUAACUCCGUGCCAGCCGCCGCAGUAACAC
rnacentral:rRNA from 1 species